AAAAAAAAUGUGUACCACUUAGACUCAACUUCAUUUAGAGAUUUUUUUAUGGAGAUGAAAAUAAGAAGUACCACAGGAGGAAUCUCUUUUCUACAGAACCGCAGUUGAAGACUUUGUGUGAUGCUGUUUCCCUUACACAGUGAAUUCCAUGAUGAAGUUCUCGUAGGACUUAAUGCCCAGAAAUGACAUGCUCUUAGAGCUGUAUAAAAGAUCUACGGAAGGCCUGUUUUGGUUAGGACAAACUCCCGCACUCCACAGCCCAUCUCUGUGAAGGGGGCGGCAGGGUCCAAAGAAUCCUCUUCCAGAUUAUAGUCAACAGAGCCUCAAGAAUAUUGUCAAGAGUUUAAUGAAUUUGUACGCAGCCCCUUUUUGUUAAAUGUCCUCAUUACGCUUAAGCAACCCU